ACGGUGAUAGAUUCGGCUUGAUAAGCGACAGCGUCGGUCGAUUUCUCGUGUCAAUGUCGCGUUGUGUCGGGUUCUGACUGGAUUUUAGGGACAGGUGUCGUCAGAGAACAUGUAGGAACACACGUGGACCACAGUUUGCCCCUGACCUGACACAAACUUGCUGACAUGCCCUUGAUGUGUUGGUGAGGCUAAAUGUGGUCAAUGGACAAAAUCAAUCACUUAAAUCGAUCCAAGAAAAGAAAGAGAGAGGUCUCCCUUCUGUCAGAGACCAGGGUAGAUUUCGUACACACUGGCCAAGGGAACAAGAGGGAGUGGAUUUUGCCAAAGGACCACAAAAAAUCAUGGAAAGAUGUCUGACUGGAAAAUGGCUCAUGUCAUUUUGAAAAAAUCAGGAUCAACAUAAAUGUUUCAUAGAAACUUGCUGAUAAUUCUUAGAGAAGUUAUUUCAACUUACUGUAGUUUAGGACAAAUGUUUUCGACAAAACUCUUUUUAAAGCUUUAGAGUAGAGUAGAGUAGAGUAUACCAUUGGUGACAACUUGUACGUAAUAGUGUGUAGUAGGCUCUGGUAAUAUAGUUUCCAACUUGGAUACGUGAACUUUUGCGAAUGAACUUUGGAGGAAAAGGGAAGGCAACUCGUUUGAUUGAUACCUACGACGAACACCGCAAUUUUAACAGGAGUUCUUUAUAACGUCUCUCGCCAAGAAUCGUAGAUCAUACACGCUAUUCCAAACUACUAACUCACACGUUUCAAUCUAACUUAUAUUUCCGGGAAAAAUUUCGCAAAUAUUAUUCGUGGUACUCAGCCAAGGACGACAAUAUUGCUGCAUGGGAAAUUGGUACGUGUGAAGGUGGGUUGUAGAUUAAAAAGGAUCUGAAAAAUGUUUUUUUUCCUACACUUUUGGUGAUUGGAAAAAGUGGAGCACAAACACGAAUUUAGUAUUUCUGAUCCACGUAGGUAAUAGAUAUGUCAGAAGUUCCUAUGAUAUGUGUAUACAAAAUACAAAAUGUACUAUUUCUAAGAAAAUUGAGUGGUAACUAUACGAAAAAUUGGAGAUACAAGUUUUGGGGACAUAUCAGUAUUUGUAAUUUGUGUAUCUAUCUCUUCAAGCGGUCUCGUAUCUUUUUAAAUGAAGAAUAUUUGAAAUCUUUAUAAUAUGGAGCAUUUUUAGAACAAUUUCUGCAAUGCGUAACACAAUGAUUUAUUUUAUGGUUGGUUAUGUAUUAUUGUUGUUUUCGUGCGUUUUUACCAACAACUCUUA